rnacentral:rRNA from 1 species
UACAGAGGUCCCAAGCGUUGUUCGGAUUCACUGGGCGUAAAGGGUGCGUAGGUGGUCAGGUAAGUCGGAUGUGAAAUCUCCGAGCUCAACUCGGAAACUGCAUUGGAAACUACCUGGCUCGAGGGUUGGAGGGGGGACUGGAAUGCUUGGUGUAGCAGUGAAAUGCGUAGAUAUCAAGCGGAACACCAGUGGCGAAGGCGAGUCCCUGGACAACUCCUGACACUGAUGCACGAAAGCUAGGGGAGCAAACCGG